rnacentral:rRNA from 1 species
GACGAAGGUGGCGAGCGUUGUUCGGAAUCACUGGGCAUAAAGCGCACGUAGGCGGUGACGUAAGUCGGGUGUGAAAUCCCUCGGCCUAACCGAGGAACUGCGCCCGAUACUGCGUUGCUUGAGGACCAGAGGGGUGCAUGGAAUUUCCGGUGGAGCGGUGAAAUGCGUUGAUAUCGGAAGGAACUCCGGCGGCGAAGGCGGCUCGCUGGACCGGUUCUGACGCUGAGGCGGCGAAAGCGUGGGGAGCAAACGGG